GAGAGUAGGCGUAGGCGGUUGCAGAUCGGUCACAAAAACUGAUUUGAGGAAAGUCCGGGCUCCCGAAAGACCAAACUUGCUGGAUAACGUCCAGUGCGAGCGAUCGUGAGGAUAGUGCCACAGAAAGAUACCGCCAAAACAAUUCAAAAUUCAAAAUUCAAAAUUCAAAAUGAAGAGUUUUGAAAAUAAAAUUUUGGAUUUAGUUUUGGUAAGGGUGCAAAGGUGCGGUAAGAGCGCACCAGCAACGUCGAGAGGCGUUGGCUCGGUAAACCCCGGUUGGGAGCAAGGCGAAAGGAACUAUGGUUGGUCUUUUACCAGUUCCGCCAAAACAGAGCCGCUAGAGGCGUUUGGUAACAAACGUCCCAGAUAGAUAACCGCCCUCAUGUAGAGAAGUUACUUGUAACAUUUCUACAUUCGAGAACAGAACCCGGCUUACUACCAACUCUUUCCC
rnacentral:RNase_P_RNA from 1 species